UACGAGAGGGCCGCUACCACGCGAGUGGAUGCCAAUCCCAAAAACCUCUCUCAGUUCGGACUGGAGUCUGCAACCCGACUCCACGAAGCUGGAUUCGCUAGUAAUCGCGCAUCAGCCACGGCGCGGUGAAUACGUUCCCGGGCCUUGUACACACCGCCCGUCAAGCCAUGGGAGCCGGGGGUACCUGAAGUGCGUAACCGCGAGGAGCGCCCUAGGGUAAAACUGGUGACUGGGGCUAAGUCGUAACAAGGUACC
rnacentral:rRNA from 1 species